rnacentral:rRNA from 1 species
GUAGGUGGCAAGCGUUGUCCGGAAUUAUUGGGCGUAAAGCGCGCGCAGGCGGGUUCUUUAAGUCUGAUGUGAAAGCCCACGGGCUCAACCGUGGAGGGUCAUUGGAAACUGGAGAACUUGAGUACAGAAGAGGAAAGCGGUAUUCCACGUGUAGCGGUGAAAUGCGUAGAGAUGUGGAGGAACACCAGUGGCGAAGGCGGCUUUCUGGUCUGUAACUGACGCUGAGGCGCGAAAGCGUGGGGAGCAAACAGGAUUAGAUACCCUGGUAGUCCACGCCGUAAACGAUGAGUGCUAAGCGUUAGGGGGUUUCCGCCCCUUAGUGCUGCAGCUAACGCAUUAAGCACUCCGCCUGGGGGGUACGGCCGCAAGGCUG